GACGAAGGUGGCGAGCGUUGUUCGGAAUCACUGGGCCUAAAGCGCACGUAGGCGGCGGCGUAAGUUGGAUGUGAAAUCCCCCGGCCCAACCGGGGAACUGCGUCCAGUACUGCGUUGCUUGAGGAUCCAAGGGGUGCAUGGAAUUCCCGGUGGAGCGGUGAAAUGCGUUGAUAUCGGGAGGAACUCCGGCGGCGAAAGCGGUGCACUGGUGGAUUACUGACGCUGAGGUGCGAAAGCCAGGGGAUCAAACGGG
rnacentral:rRNA from 1 species